AUUGAACGCUGGCGGCAGGCUUAACACAUGCAAGUCGAGCGGUAACAGAGAGAAGCUUGCUUCUCUGCUGACGAGCGGCGGACGGGUGAGUAAUGCCUAGGAAUCUGCCUAGUAGUGGGGGAUAACUUGCCGAAAGGUAAGCUAAUACCGCAUACGUCCUACGGGAGAAAGGAGGGGACCUUCGGGCCUUUCGCUAUUAGAUGAGCCUAGGUCGGAUUAGUUAGUUGGUGAGGUAAUGGCUCACCAAGACCGCGAUCCGUAACUGGUCUGAGAGGAUUAUCAGUCACACUGGAACAGAGACACGGUCCAGACUCCUACAGGAGGCAGCAGUGGGGAAUAUUGGACAAUGGAGGGAACCCUGAUCCAGCCAUGCCACGUGUGUGAAGAAGGUCUUAGGAUUGUAAAGCACUUUAAGUUGGGAGGAAGAGCAGUUAACUAAUAUUUGACUGUUUUGACGUUACCGACAGAAUAAGCACCGGCUAACUUCGUGCCAGCAGCCGCAGUAA
rnacentral:rRNA from 1 species